rnacentral:misc_RNA from 1 species
GCUGGGUCGCGAUCCUCAGGCAAGAACUCGUUCAAAAUCUUGAAUCGAUCUGAGACCUUAGCCAUUGGCUUUCCAACAUUUCUCACUAUAAAGGAAUCCUCAGUGAUCAAACUCUGUUGCACAAUGUCUUUGCACCCCUUACCUAAAUCCAACAACAUUUCCCCCCACGAUUUCAAAAACCCUGUCACCUGCUCCUUCAAACUUUCUGUUUUGACUUCUUCCUCGUCGACAAAUCCCGACUUCUUGAACGCCGGAGCCGAAAACCCGAUAGAUUCCCCGGCGGCAGCACCAGCAUAUCUUAUCCCGGUGUCCGCUACCAGACUCGCAAGCUCCUCCGUCCACGUGUUCCCUCCUCUCAGCUCCGCCAUUCUCGCUGAAACCAAGGUUCAGUCCACUUAGAAGCGUGAAUUUCAAUUCAGAAUUGGUUGAUCCAAAAAGGAAAACCCUAACCGACCAUUGUUAAAACG